rnacentral:rRNA from 1 species
CAGCAGCCGCGGGAAUACAGAGGGUGCAAGCGUUAAUCGGAAUUACUGGGCGUAAAGCGCGCGUAGGUGGUUUGUUAAGUUGGAUGUGAAAUCCCCGGGCUCAACCUGGGAACUGCAUCCAAAACUGGCAAGCUAGAGUAUGGUAGAGGGUGGUGGAAUUUCCUGUGUAGCGGUGAAAUGCGUAUAUAUAGGAAGGAACACCAGUGGCGAAGGCGACCACCUGGACUGAUACUGACACUGAGGUGCGAAAGUGUGGGGAGCAAACAGGAUUAGAUACCCCCGUAGUUCCUGUCUCUUAUAC